GUUUUAAUGGGUGAUUCACUUCCAACAGCGCUCUUACCAUACCUGUGUCAUCGUCAUUAUUCCUGACUGCUUCCCAAAGCAGACACGUGCACACCCACGUGCGACA